rnacentral:tRNA from 1 species
GGUCGUUUGUCAGUUGGAGCUGGGGUAAAUUGUUAGUUUGCGAGAUAGGGCUUC